CUUAUGCAGAAAUCUGGGCAAUGCCAUCUUAUUGACUUAAUGCCUAAUCUAAAACCUAAUGAGAAUCUAGAGUUGGAGAUUUCUCAUCAGAGAUGUCUCUGUUCUAGCAGAGAGAUAAUGAGACUUCAGUGGCUGGAAGCUUAGGUCAGGAUUUUGUCUCAACAACCUACACUGUUUUCAGUGUUGCCUUUCUCACCUCUCUGGAGGCUUCCUUACAGCCCCUUUUCAGCAGCCUGAGCGAAGUGGCAUAGCCCGACCACAUGGGAGCUGAACCACCGGUGUCGACAGGCAAACCUUGCCAUCUGCCCCCCUGACUGCUGGGGGCAGGAGCUUGCAGCAGGACCUGAGAGGGUUGCAGGAUGAAUAUGAGUUUGGCAUCCUCAGGAAUAUUCAUCGCUGUUCUUUAUAGCCAGAAAUCUUUCCUCAUUAAAAUAUACUAGGACUCCUUUGUUCUGAUGCUCUUUUCUAGUCUUCUGCAAUUAGCUACUUUUAUAGACAAAUAAAUGUAAUAAAUUGAGCUUUUUUCUAAACUAU
rnacentral:lncRNA from 1 species